rnacentral:rRNA from 1 species
AACGCUAGCUACAGGCUUAACACAUGCAAGUCGAGGGGCAGCGAGGGAGUGCUUGCACUUCUGUCGGCGACCGGCGCACGGGUGAGUAACACGUAUGCAACCUGCCCUUGUCAGGGGGAUAAGCGAGGGAAACCUCGUCUAAUACCGCAUAUAUGGUUUUGAGGCAUCUCUUAAUCAGGAAAGAAUUAUCGGACAAGGAUGGGCAUGCGGGACAUUAGGUAGUUGGGGGUGUAACGGACCACCAAGCCGACGAUGUCUAGGGGUUCUGAGAGGAAGGUCCCCCACACUGGUACUGAGACACGGACCAGACUCCUACGGGAGGCAGCAGUGAGGAAUAUUGGUCAAUGGGCGAGAGCCUGAACCAGCCAAGUCGCGUGAGGGAAGACGGUACUAAGUAUUGUAAACCUCUUUUGUCAGGGAACAAAGAGACCACGUGUGGUAAGAUGAGUGUACCUGAAGAAAAAGCAUCGGCUAACUCCGUGCCAGCAGCCGCGGUAAUACGGAGGAUGCGAGCGUUAUCCGGAUUUAUUGGGUUUAAAGGGUGCGUAGGUGGCAUAUCAAGUCAGCGGUUAAAUGUCGGGGCUCAACCUCGGCCUGCCGUUGAAACUGAUGAGCUAGAGAGGAUGAGAAGUAUGCGGAAUGCGUGGUGUAGCGGUGAAAUGCAUAGAUAUCACGAAGAACUCCGAUUG